rnacentral:rRNA from 1 species
UACGUAGGGAGCGAGCGUUGUCCGGAAUUACUGGGUGUAAAGGGAGCGUAGGCGGGACUGCAAGUUGGGUGUCAAAUCUACCGGCUCAACCGGUAGCCGCACUCAAAACUGCAGUUCUUGAGUGAAGUAGAGGCAGGCGGAAUUCCUAGUGUAGCGGUGAAAUGCGUAGAUAUUAGGAGGAACACCAGUGGCGAAGGCGGCCUGCUGGGCUUUUACUGACGCCGAGGCUCGAAAGUGUGGGGAGCAAACAGG